CUUCCUGGUGACCCUGGCAUAUGCUCUCGAACUACGAAUCUCACUCAACCAAUGACCAAUGGCUCACUUUCGGACAUCGAACCUUGCCUAAACGCCGACCACGGCUUACGUAUGGACUCCGACCCGAGCCCCAAUGUUAACCCCAGCCCGAUUUUGGAUAAUGCAACCAGUAAUUCCUCAAUCUCAUGAGGAACCUAUGAUAUGUAUCAAUUGUAUAGCUGACAUGAUGCAGAGGAGGCGACAUAGCCUAGAGCUUAUUAAGUUCAGUUGGUUAUAAUGUCAGUGGAUGACUCCUCAGCUGAUUGAUAACAGCAGUGUAUGUUGUCACUCAUGUUGGACCGUGGCCACGGUGUGGCUCUGCACCAAUCAAGGACAAAUAAUAUUUCAAAUGAAGAAGCAACCACUAGCACUGGUCACAGUUAACGUGGAUUAUCUUUGUUACAAAUACGUUCCAUAGACUGCAUAUUAACACGGAAAGAGAAUCACAUAUUCGAAAAUAAUGUAAUAAUGGAAAAGAUUUCACCUCGUCAACAGCGGGGAUCUGAU